UCCUUUCUCUCAGCCUUUCAUCUCCCCGUUCCUUUCUCACAGCCAUUAACAUUGUUGAUUGUUAAAAUUUGCAGGUCAAGAUUCAGCCACAAAAAGGAAACCCUAGUUUAGAAUCAAUCAAUUAUAGCUUGAUUUGUGGUUGUUGUUGUUUAUAUAAUCAAUUUGACCUAAAACGACGAUGGUGAUUGGUUAAGAAGAUAGUUACAAUUGAUUCUGGAUUUCUGGUGAUGAUAAAUAUCAUGGUUUGUCUUCUUCGUUAAUGGGAUGAAAUUACAGGUAUUGAAACAAGAUGCUGUUGCUGGUGGAAGAGAUCAAUGUGUUUGAUUGCUCGAUUUGAAGAAUUAAACCUAGGGUUUCUAGGUUGAAGUUUGUUUGAAUAAAAUCUUAGGGUUUCUGAGGCUGAGUGUGAGCUGAGAAGAUGGUGGUUCUGCAACGGGUUUCUGGUAUUUGGUAGUGAAGAAUUAAAGGGUUUUUAGUUGAAUGAGGAAGGUGGUUGAUUUAGGGUAUGCUUCAGAAAUGGGAUUUGAUGUUGUGUUAUGGAAGAAGAGAAAUUAGAAUAUAUAUUGUUGCCGUGAAGAUUCAAGUCAAAUGAAGUGAUUGAAGCCAGAAUUAAAGGGGUUGAGCUGUUAGUUAUUGUUGCUGGUGAUUUUAGGGAUGGAGUUAUACAGGGAUAUGUGGUGUUGCUGUUGGUGUUUGAACUCAGGCUUGACAAGAGAAAGUUCUAUGUUGUAGGAGCUAGGAUUUUUACUAGGGUUACAGUGGCGUUAUACCCGGUCUCUGUUGUAAAGACAAGGCUGCAAGUUUCUACAAAAGAUUCUGUGGAGAAAAGUGCAUUUUUCUGUUGUCAGAGGUUCACUCAAAAGUGCAAGUUUAGUGUCCAUUCUUGCUCCAGAAGCUAAUAUUGUAACUUGCUUCUGCUAUCCACUCUGAUUUAGGGCCUUAUGUAAAUUGACAUAUCAGAAAGUCACAACUUUAGAAGAAAUGAAAAUUAUGGUCUUUUGAGAAGAACGGGAAGAGAGAAAACCUAAAUUCAUCAGCAAGAACUGAUGAAUUCCUUGCUUCUAGUUUCAAAUAAGAAAUGGGUUAAAUCGGAUUUACUUAGUGAAGCUACUCACUAUCUCUUUAUACAACACCCUUAUCUUUCCUCUGAAACCCUAGCCUUGUAUGAAAAACCCUGAUAUUUGUAAAUCCUUUGUUUCUCAAUAACUAUGUGGUUUAUUACUCGUCUUCAAACCCUAAUUUCUUAUCACACAUGGAAGAGAAUUCAAUUACUCAUUCAGGUCCUGUUGGCGAAGACAUGUUUCUCUGGCAAGCAACAAUAAUGGGUCCCCAAGACAGUCCAUACGCUGGAGGAAUCCAGAUUAUCCAUUUAAGCCACCAAAGGUUGUUGCAGGGGAGCCAUCUAAAUGACAUUGAUUAGACUGUGAAGUGCUGAGAACUUGGGGUUGCAAAACAUCUAAGCGUAUUAUAGUAGUGCAGUCAUUUAUGUUAGUAUCUCUCCUUCAGCUCACAUCAAGCUUGGAUAUGAUCAUGUUCUCCAAUGUAAACGAAGUUAACUCACUUAUCCAACCAUUUCGAAUAUGAGAUACUAAGAAGUUAUUUAUUUCCCACUUUUGAAUGUAAAGCCAACCUUUUCUUGCGAAUUUUCUGUUAUAUUGAUCAAAUAGGGCACUCUUGCAAUGGCAGUGAUGUUCUGAGUGUUUUUAAUAGUAAUGGUAGUGCAGUUGAUGGCUAACGACUCUAGUGAGUGAUGCUACUGUUGUCUUAUCCAAACUGCCGUAUGGUAUCUUAUAGGCACCUUCAAGUAUGCCAUUUUGACCAAGCUGAAUGUGCUGAUCUUGAGUAAGCUGUAUAGGAUGCCCUAGUUACUUGGAUCAUCCUCCUGUUGAGAAGGAAGUAGUGGAUAUUCUUAUUUGUAUGAACCUCUUUGAAGGAAGGAGUCAUAACAAGUCCAUGGAUUACUCACUUUGACUACAUUGCAUUCUACUAGGCAUUUAUAUAUUUUCCGUGGUUUAUAAUUCAUUUUGAAUAUAUGAGGAUUUGUUGGUCAUCCAGUGUUUGAACAUAAAUAAUGAGUCCAUGGAUUACUUAAAUAAUGAGUCCAUGGAUUACUUAACUUGGUGAACUGACACCAACUUAAGUAAUAGAAACAAUUAUAACAAUGCAUUCUAUGAAGGAAGUUGUUUUAUGGCUCACGUGUUUUUGUUCACUGAAUAUAUGGGGAUUAGUUGGUCAGCUUCAUUAGGAUCAAGAGCUUACACCGUUCAAAGGUGAACGUAGAUUGGUAUAUCUUUUUCCCGAAUUAAAUAGUUGAAGUAAGGUGCCAUAGCAUGCAUACAUAAUAGAGAGUAAUUGUAGAAUGUUUUCCAACAACCUUGUGUUUUAAGAAUGUUGUUUUAUUUAAGGUUUUGAGAGUCCAAUGUUGUUUCGUGUUGGCUUAAAAGUUGAGAAGUAAAGAUUAAAGUGUGUUUGGAUUUUAAAAGACCUCUUUUCAUGUUUUGGCAAGUUUGUGACCAACAGAAUAAGUUGUGAACUGAUUUUCAAGUAGCAGAAUUUUCAGUAAUCCUUGUCCCUUUUGCUAACUCGCUUUUAUUUGAUUUCAGUAUGAGGGAAAUACCUACGAGAGCCUACCUCUUUGCCCCUUUUCCUAUGGACAUAGUCAAGCAAUGGAUUUCAUACAUGUUGAAUGAGGUUCAAUCUCUUGAGGAAACUUGUGAAUGCUAUAGUACUUCAAUGGUACAUCAACGAAGGACUGGAGAAGUGCAGGAUUUGAGUGAGUUUGUAUAAUAAAAGAGAAUAAUUUGCAUUUGCUUCUGGAUACUGGACACUAAAUUGCAGAUUGAAAAAUAGGAAAUUGUAGGCCUGUGUUUCAGGUUUAAUUGUGAAGGCCUGUAAAUUGGAAGCCAGGUCCAUGAAAAUGAUCUGGACUACCCUUUUUUUUAUUGUAACUGAACGAUUGUCACAGAGAUAACUGCAACAAAAUUUGUGGAGUAAAAAAACACGUGUCAUCA